GAUGAAGAACGUAGCGAAAUGCGAUAAGUAAUGUGAAUUGCAGAAUUCAGUGAAUCAUCGAAUCUUUGAACGCACAUUGCGCCCCCUGGUAUUCCGGGGGGCAUGCCUGUUCGAGCGUCAUUUCACCACUCAAGCCUCGCUUGGUAUUGGGCAACGCGGUCCGCCGCGUGCCUCAAAUCGACCGGCUGGGUCUUCUGUCCCCUAAGCGUUGUGGAAACUUUCGCUAAAGGGUGUUCGGGAGGCUACGCCGUAAAACAACCCCAUUUCUAAGGUUGACCUCGGAUCAGGUAGGGAUACCCGCUGAACUUAAGCAUAUCAAUAAGCGGGGA
rnacentral:misc_RNA from 1 species